GCAGUCAUAUUCAGGAUGGAGAAAAUAGACUUAAAGAAGGUGAGGUGCCAAGCAAAAAUAGUGGGGACUUUGGUGACCGUAGCAGGAGCAAUGUUAAUGACCUUAUACAAGGGUCCUAUAGUGGAGAUGUUUUGGUCUAAGCAUGCCCAUCCUCAUAAAUCCAAUGGGACUGAUACCACUGAGACCACUGACAAGGACUGGCUCAAGGGCUCCAUCCUCCUUAUCAUUGCCACCCUUGCUUGGGCUGCCUUGUUUGUUUUGCAAACCAAAGCUCUCGAGACGUACAGGAGGCAUCAGCUCUCUCUAACAUCACUUGUGUGCUUU
rnacentral:misc_RNA from 1 species